rnacentral:rRNA from 1 species
AUUGAACGCUGGCGGCAGGCCUAACACAUGCAAGUCGAGCGGAUGAAGGGAGCUUGCUCCUGGAUUCAGCGGCGGACGGGUGAGUAAUGCCUAGGAAUCUGCCUGGUAGUGGGGGAUAACGUCCGGAAACGGGCGCUAAUACCGCAUACGUCCUGAGGGAGAAAGUGGGGGAUCUUCGGACCUCACGCUAUCAGAUGAGCCUAGGUCGGAUUAGCUAGUUGGUGGGGUAAAGGCCUACCAAGGCGACGAUCCGUAACUGGUCUGAGAGGAUGAUCAGUCACACUGGAACUGAGACACGGUCCAGACUCCUACGGGAGGCAGCAGUGGGAAAUAUUGGACAAUGGGCGAAAGCCUGAUCCAGCCAUGCCGCGUGUGUGAAGAAGGUCCUCGGAUUGUAAAGCACUUUAAGUUGGGAGGAAGGGCAGUAAGUUAAUACCUUGCUGUUUUGACGUUACCAACAGAAUAAGCACCGGCUAACUUCGUG